rnacentral:lncRNA from 1 species
UGGAGCGCAAGAGGAAGGUGCGGUGCGGUGAGGAAUUGUCUGCCAGGCUUCUGGAGGCACCUGGGCCGUGUGGGUUCACAGCGGUCAUCCAGGGAAUGGAUGGACAUGCUCCUGCAGUGCUCGGCCAAGCUCAGCCCUUGUUCAGCACACCAGCCCUGUGAGCCACGCUGUCCCUGGAGCCUGGCUCGGAGGAUGCGAGGAGGAUUCUCCAGCAGGCAAGCAUGGUCAGAGGGGCCACUGGGUCGCCAGAUGGAGUCCCUGUGCCGAUCCCACAGUACACGGAGAGGAGCAGAAAAGCG